UACGGAGGGGGCGAGCGUUAUUCGGAAUUAUUGGGCGUAAAGGGCGCGUAGGCGGCCUUGUAAGUCAAAGGUGAAAUCCCUCGGCUCAACUGAGGAACUGCCUUUGAAACUGCAAGCUUGAGGCCGGGAGGGGGUAGGCGGAAUUCCCAAUGUAGCGGUGAAAUGCGUAGAUAUUGGGAGGAACACCAGUGGCGAAGGCGGCUACCUGGACCGGUU
rnacentral:rRNA from 1 species